GUCGAGAAUCUUCCGCAAUGCGCGAAAGCGUGACGGAGCGACACCGCGUGAUGGAUGAAGUCCUUCGGGGCGUAAACAUCUUUUAUAAAGGAGGAAAUUUUUGACGUUACUUUAUGAAUAAGGGGCUCCCAAUCUCGUGCCAGCAGGAGCGGUAAUACGAGAGCCUCAAGCGUUAUCCGGAAUCAUUGGGCGUAAAGGGUGCGUAGGUGGUUUGAUUAGUCUCCCGUUAAAACUUCGAGCUUAACUCGAAAAGAGCGGGGGAAACGGUCAAACUAGAGUAUGUGAGAGGUGUGUGGAACUCAUGGUGUAGGGGUGAAAUCCGUUGAUAUCAUGGGGAUCACCAAAAGCGAAGGCAGCACACUGGCACAUCACUGACACUGAGGCACGAAACCUAAGGUAGCGAAUGGGAUUAGAUACCCUAGUAGUCC
rnacentral:rRNA from 1 species